rnacentral:rRNA from 1 species
CAGACCUCUAAUCGGAAAAGACUACCCGCUGAGUUUAAGCAUAUCACUAAGCGGAGGAGAAG